AAACAGAUUAUGGUUGAAAUUUAACCGUAGCCUAAAUGGAAACACGGAAGAACAUUAACUGUUUUCGGGUGCUAGUGCCGGUGUAAACUGUUUGGCUCCCCAUCGGAUUUGCUUGGUACCUUCGCUGGCUGGGAACGAACUGCGAAGAAAUGGACAAAAGAUAGGAAAGGUCGUAAGCGGGAUCGGAACAAAUGUUAGCAGCUCCGAGCUGAUUCCAACAAUGUUGAAAAAUACCUGCCAAGGAGAAAGCGACGCUGACCAUGUAGUGCUAUCCGGAUAUUAUUAAGGGCGAUCCGGAUGAGGGACGCAAGUUGUUUCUGUAGUACCAAGGUUCUGAGCGACGACACCAAGUGCCGCGAUCAUCGACACAGAUGGAAGAGCUAGUGGAUGCACGUAUCUUUUUUCCAGAAUUGGAAUUUCCGUUGUACUAUUGAUCCGGAACCAUUUUUCCGAAUACUUUUUUCCGAUUCGGCGCCGUUGGAGAUCAGAACGUCAGGAUUCCCAAGCACUCCUCUGCAGACAGCGCAAUUUCCUUCAAACAUGUGAAAAGGAAUGCAAAAAGUCCCUAUUUUUAUAACUAUCAUACUAAAUAAAGCAGGAUCAGGAACAUGAUUUGAUGCCAUUGAUUGAA